rnacentral:rRNA from 1 species
CAUCCGAUGGUGGUGGAAAGGAUUCUGGUCUGGGAUGGGCCCGCGGCCUAUCAGCUUGUUGGUGGGGUAAUGGCCUACCAAGGCGACGACGGGUAGCCGGCCUGAGAGGGCGACCGGCCACACUGGGACUGAGACACGGCCCAGACUCCUACGGGAGGCAGCAGUGGGGAAUAUUGCGCAAUGGGCGAAAGCCUGACGCAGCGACGCCGCGUGAGGGACGAAGGUCUUCGGAUUGUAAACCUCUUUCAGCAGGGAUGAAGCGAAAGUGACAGUACCUGCAGAAGAAGCACCGGCUAACUACGUGCCAGCAGCCGCGGUAAUACGUAGGGUGCAAGCGUUGUCCGGAUUUAUUGGGCGUAAAGAGCUCGUAGGCGGUCUGUCGCGUCGGAUGUGAAAACCCAAUGGCUUAACCUUGGGCCUGCAUACGAUACGGGCAGACUAGAGUGCGGUAGGGGAGACUGGAAUUCCUGGUGUAGCGGUGGAAUGCGCAGAUAUCAGGA